GACGAACGCUGGCGGCGUGCUUAACACAUGCCAGUCGAACGGAAAGGCCCUGCUUUUGUGGGGUGCUCGAGUGGCGAACGGGUGAGUAACACGUGAGUAACCUGCCCUUGACUUUGGGAUAACUUCAGGAAACUGGGGCUAAUACCGGAUAGGAGCUCCUGCUGCAUGGUGGGGGUUGGAAAGUUUCGGCGGUUGGGGAUGGACUCGCGGCUUAUCAGCUUGUUGGUGGGGUAGUGGCUUACCAAGGCUUUGACGGGUAGCCGGACUGAGAGGGUGACCGGCCACAGUGGGACUGAGAUACGGCCCAGACUCCUACGGGAGGCAGCAGUGGGGAAUAUUGCACAAUGGGCGGCAGCCUGAUGCAGCAACGCCGCGUGCGGGAUGACGGCCUUCGGGUUGGAAACCGCUUUCGCCUGUGACGAAGCGUGAGUGACGGUAAUGGGUAAAGAAGCAACGGCUAACUACGUG
rnacentral:rRNA from 1 species